GAGACUGUCAGCAAGGCUUAAAGAGACCAGAGUUGGAUUCGCUCCAGGGGGGAGGAACCCUAACAACAGUGGAUCUGAAGCCAUGUGAAGCUGUCUCGUCUGCUUGCAUCACUGGGCAAAAAGAGUACCAAUGGGAACUGAUGCGCUGCACCCGGACCUCCAAAUCUUUCAUGGUUUGUCCUCCUCCAACACAAGCUAGCCAAUUGGCC
rnacentral:lncRNA from 1 species